rnacentral:rRNA from 1 species
GAUGAACGCUGACAGAAUGCUUAACACAUGCAAGUCUACUUGAACUUCGGUUUGGGUGGCGGACGGGUGAGUAACGCGUAAAGAACUUGCCUCACAGUUAGGGACAACAUUUGGAAACGAAUGCUAAUACCUGAUAUUAUGAUUUUAGGGCAUCCUAAGAUUAUGAAAGCCAUAUGCGCUGUGAGAGAGCUUUGCGUCCCAUUAGCUAGUUGGAGAGGUAACGGCUCACCAAGGCGAUGAUGGGUAGCCGGCCUGAGAGGGUGAACGGCCACAAGGGGACUGAGACACGGCCCUUACUCCUACGGGAGGCAGCAGUGGGGAAUAUUGGACAAUGGACCAAAAGUCUGAUCCAGCAAUUCUGUGUGCACGAUGACGUUUUUCGGAAUGUAAAGUGCUUUCAGUUGGGAAGAAAAAAAUGACGGUACCAACAGAAGAAGUGACGGCUAAAUACGUGCCAGCAGCCGCGGUAAUACGUAUGUCACAAGCGUUAUCCGGAUUUAUUGGGCGUAAAGCGCGUCUAGGUGGUUAUGUAAGUCUGAUGUGAAAAUGCAGGGCUCAACUCUGUAUUGCGUUGGAAACUGCAUGACUAGAGUACUGGAGAGGUAAGCGGAACUACAAGUGUAGAGGUGAAAUUCGUAGAUAUUUGUAGGAAUGCCGAUGGGGAAGCCAGCUUACUGGACAGAUACUGACGCUAAAGCGCGAAAGCGUGGGUAGCAAACAGG